rnacentral:rRNA from 1 species
AGUGAACGCUGGCGGUAGGCCUAACACAUGCAAGUCGAACGGCAGCACAGUAAGAGCUUGCUCUUACGGGUGGCGAGUGGCGGACGGGUGAGGAAUACAUCGGAAUCUACUUUUUCGUGGGGGAUAACGUAGGGAAACUUACGCUAAUACCGCAUACGACCUACGGGUGAAGGCAGGGGAUCUUCGGACCUUGCGCGAUUGAAUGAGCCGAUGUCGGAUUAGCUAGUUGGCGGGGUAAAGGCCCACCAAGGCGACGAUCCGUAGCUGGUCUGAGAGGAUGAUCAGCCACACUGGAACUGAGACACGGUCCAGACUCCUACGGGAGGCAGCAGUGGGGAGUAUUGGACAAUGGGCGCAAGCCUGAUCCAGCCAUACCGCGUGGGUGAAGAAGGCCUUCGGGUUGUAAAGCCCUUUUGUUGGGAAAGAAAAGCAGCAGGUUAAUACCCCGCUGUUCUGACGGUACCCAAAGAAUAAGCACCGGCUAACUUCGUG